rnacentral:rRNA from 1 species
CAACCAUCCGUAUACACAGGAAUAGCCUUUCGAAAGAAAGGGUAAAACUUGAUGCAGUCUAAUCGUCNCAUGGCGGAAAGAUGAAAUGUAGCAAUACAGGUAUACGACGGGGAUGCGUACCAUUAGAUAGUCGGCGGGGUAACGGCCCACCGAGUCGACGAUGGUUAGGGGUCCUGAGAGGGAGGUCCCCCACAUUGGAACUGAGAACGGUCCAAACUCCUACGGGAGGCAGCAGUGAGGAAUAUUGGUCAAUGGGCGAGAGCCUGAACCAGCCAAGUAGCGUGAAGGAAGAGUGCCUUACAGGUAAUAAACUUCUUUUCUUCGGGAGUAAUGACAUCUACGAGUUAGGUGUAGAGUAAGUACCGAAAGAACAAGCAUCGGCUAACUCCGUGCCAGCAGCCGCGGUAAUACGGAGGAUGCGAGUGUUAUCCGGAUUUAUUGGGUUUAAAGGGUGCGUAGGCGGACGGUUAAGUCAGCUGUUAAAGGACCAUGCUCAGCGUGGGAAGUGCAGUUGAAACUGACAGUCUAGAGAGUACAUAAGGCAGUUGGAAUUUGUGGUGUAGCGGUGAAAUGCAUAGAUAUCACGAAGAACUCCGAUUG